rnacentral:lncRNA from 1 species
CUCUGAGCGCGACCCUACCCGGCUCGGGCCCGCAGCAACCCCGACUGUCCGAGAGCCUCUCCCCAAGCAAGGCUCUGCGCCGCCCUCUGAGCCCACCUCCUGGCCACAACGCUGCCUGCGCUUCUCCAGCCCAGGCCGGAAGCCCUAUGCUGCCUCCCGAAGCCGGACUUUCUGGAAGCCCAUCUUCGUAUGCUCACCAGCCCACCCUCCUACGCUGGUCAGAGUGAGAUUGCUAACCUCAAGACCCCAUUCAAUGCCAGCUUUCAACUACUGCUGAAGACCAAUGUAGGUCCUGGAAUAGAAGAACUGCAGAGUCUUGGCUUUUGCUUUUGUGUGUCCACCUCGAGCAGAUCCGGAGCUGGCCGACCCCAGACUGAUUCUCAACAGGUGGCUGGAUGCAGACAAAAGCUACCAUGUCCGCUUGGAGUGACGCCCAGACACGCACAGAGAUGUACAGGAAGCCAAGGAGAGUGGGAUCCACCAGAGUACAGUACAAGUACAGAGUACAGUGCAAGAUGCCCAGU